rnacentral:lncRNA from 1 species
UGAUGAGUGCAUGUGCAUUUUUGAAAGUCGUAAAAAGGUAUGAUUUUUAUAAUGCCAUCUAAUUUAAUUCACUCAAAUUCCAAACAAUUUUGAACAAAGAUUGACUUCAGUAAAUAUCCAGGAUUAAGAAGUUACUUUAAAAAAUAAAGAAAACAAAACUAUGAAUUGGUAUCUGCUUGUUAUUAUUGCAUUGGAGGUACCUUUUUCAUUAAAUUAUUGCUUUUUCUUAUUGUAGAUAAUGAGGAUUUUGUCCCUUGUCUAUUAAGGGCUUGAACAGAAAAGACAGAAGAAAAUAUAAAAGUCAAGGCAUCCUGACUCAUGUAGUCAUUAUGGACACACAGUAAAAUAAAAUCAUUUUGAUAAGAUAUCUUGGAAAAGAAGAAAAGUUACUCCAAGCAUGAAUCUUGCAGUAUGUCUUGCAGUUAUCUUCUCAUGCAAAGAACAGCAAAAUAUACAAAGAGACAUUUCUGACUUGGUGACUAAAAGUUCUCAAGACAAAUAUGGUAACAGAAUCCUUUCCGUGGCUGAGACAAUGCUAUGUGUUCAUUCGAUUAUCUAA